UUAAUGAAAUAUAUAUUUCUCUAAUUUUUUUCUUCUAGGGUUUUUUUUUUUUUUGGCAGCCUAGGAGACAUAAUCAGAUUGCAAAUAAGUAUCAUGGAGGUAAAGCCCCUUUCUGCACUGAAAUGGAAUGAUACAAAUAACUCAAGCUCUGGAGAGCCCAUCAUAGGAAGAGGGGCAGCUUAGAAUUCAUCAAAGCUUUUGCCAGUGAUUGGUUGACAGCUACAACUGGAAUGGAGUUCAAGCACUUUCUACUGGUCACUAUGAUGGAUUAAAUAAAUAACUUUAUUGGCUUUCUUAUAAAACGUGUUGUUUAAUCUGCUACAUUUCUUCCAGUUCUCACUGCUGUUCUCAAUACUAGCAUUUUAAGAUGAAAAACUUCAUAUAAUGCAGCUUCAAAAUGUUUUUCCUCAGAAAAAGCAAUGCAGCUAUCCAUUGCUAGAAAGGAUAAUCAAUAGUUCAGCUCCUUACAUUCAGCUUUACAGGAAAUUUUUUUAAUAGAAAUUAAAGCAAGAGAAUAUAGGCUUUUCCUCUGUAAUUAAGUGCCAAAUCCUUGACUCAUUAAUGAAUGAGCAGAAAUGCAUACCCAAAAUUAUAACUUUGUGUCUUUUAUCCUAUGACAAAGCUGCAAUAACAUCCAAAUAUAUUCACUCGAGAAAAUUUUGGAAAUAGCUUUCUCUAUAACAGGAAUGCAAAAUAUAAUACAUCUAAAUGGUUAAUGAAACAAAUGCUGCCUAGCUUAUUCUGAUUCAGUCAUAUAGAUAUGUGAGGUUUAUUUCAUAAAAAAGAAAUAUCAAAAUAGAAAUAAUAGAUCUUAUUGGUGUCACAGAGGAAGAUUGUUUUAUGUGGUGGUGUUAUUUAAUAUUUUAAAAAGUAGUUAUCUUUAAUAUGACAAUCAUGUUCAAUAAUCUUAAACCAAAGUUAUUUGCUUAGUUAUUGGCUUCAGAAUACUUGUUCUUUCUAAAAAGCUUUGUGGCCUGCUUUCCCAUAAAUAGCUAAUAAAAGCUGGUUGUAUUGG